AAGUGAUUAUAUUUGUCUAAGAAGUCAGGUAGGUCUGCAGCAAAUGAAAUAAAAGUUCUCUUUAUUUUUUUUUCUCCGGCCACAGUUGGUUGCCCGUUACCAUGUGAAUGUGCACCUGCUGGGACAAUGACCCUACCUGCAUCUGCUGGAGCUUCCUGGGGAACCAGGCGCUGGGCUCCCCAAUCACUACGAGGCUUGUUAUUCUGCUCCUGUGUGUGGGUCUGGGCCUUUGUAAUGUGGACCUGCUGUCCACAAGUUCCCAAAGAUCCACCUGCUUGCUAGUGCACCACCUAUUUCCCUGGCCAGAAUGGACCAGAAGAUAGUAACUUUCCUAUCUGGGCUACAGAAUCAUCCAGAGAAACAAACAGCAAAGUGCAGAACUAUGAUUUGUAUCCUGCUUUGGAAAAAGAGUAAU